GACGAACGCUGGCGGCGUGCUUAACACAUGCAAGUCGAGCGAUGAAGUUCCUUCGGGAAUAGAUUAGCGGCGGACGGGUGAGUAACACGUGGGUAACCUGCCUCAUAGAGGGGAAUAGCCUUUCGAAAGGAAGAUUAAUACCGCAUAAGAUUGUAGUUCCGCAUGGAAUAGCAAUUAAAGGAGUAAUCCGCUAUGAGAUGGACCCGCGUCGCAUCAGCUAGUUGGUGAGGUAACGGCUCACCAAGGCGACGAUGCGUAGCCGACCUGAGAGGGUGAUCGGCCACAUUGGGACUGAGACACGGCCCAGACUCCUACGGGGGGCAGCAGUGGGGAAUAUUGCACAAUGGGGGAAACCCUGAUGCAGCAACGCCGCGUGAGUGAUGACGGUCUUCGGAUUGUAAAACUCUGUCUUCAGGGACGAUAAUGACGGUACCUGAGGAGGAAGCCACGGCUAACUACGUGCCAGCCGCCGCAGUAA
rnacentral:rRNA from 1 species